rnacentral:rRNA from 1 species
UGGGGAAUUUUGGACAAUGGGCGAAAGCCUGAUCCAGCCAUGCCGCGUGAGUGAAGAAGGCCUUCGGGUUGUAAAGCUCUUUCGGACAGAAAGAAAUCGCACGAACUAAUACUUUGUGCGGAUGACGGUACUGUAAGAAGAAGCACCGGCUAACUCCGUGCCAGCAGCCGCGGUAAUACGGAGGGUGCAAGCGUUACUCGGAAUUACUAGGCGUAAAGGGCAGGUAGGCGGUCUCGUUAGUCUGUUGUGAAAGCUCCUUGCUUAACGGGGAGAGGCCAACAGAUACUGCGAGGCUUGAGUAUAGGAGAGGGUACUGGAAUUCCCGGUGUAGCGGUGAAAUGCGCAGAGAUCGGGAGGAACACCAAUGGCGAAAGCAGGUACCUGGACUAUUACUGACGCUCAGCUGCGAAAGCUAGGGGAGCAAA